AUUCUCUCAGUGCAACGCCAAGGCAGAGGGUGGACGAGAGUACGUAAAGGCGAAUAUCUACUACUUGUUGAAGUUGAAAAGCAGUUUACGGCAACCUCCUAUUAAUGGAUUAUGAAUGUGGCAGUGCAAAGAAUGCAGUUUGCAAUUAGCUAGCAGCGUGACAACAUCAACACCAGGAGGGAGUGUAUCCUGAGAUGCAUCAUCUACCUCAAUGAAGAUCCAGACACCAUCUUCAAAGAAUAUCUGGCACUGGCGACCGAGGAUGCAGAAAGGGACCUAGCAACCACAGUCAUGUGACCGGAAGUGAUGGGGAUCAGGAGCCUGAGGACGUUGGAGUUGUGGAGUCAAGUUCAUUCUAUUUGGCAUCAUUCACCAUGGUGAAACUCAAACAUCCAACAGGAAAAAAAAACAUUUUUUGAUUGGAGGGGUUCUAAGGAAAUGAAGUUCAAAUGUAAAUGUAUUUCAAUAAAAAAUAAAAUAAAAAUAAAAAACCA